AACCUACCCUUGGGACGGGGACAACCUCGGGAAACUGAGGCUAAUCCCCGAUAAGCGAGGGACGCUGGGAUGCCUCCUCGCCCAAAGCUCCGGCGCCCGAGGAUGGGACUGCGGCCUAUCAGGCUGUUGGUGGUGUAACGGACCACCAAACCUACGACGGGUACGGGCGAUGGGAGUCGGAGCCCGGAGAUGGGGACUGAGACAAGGCCCCAGGCCCUACGGGGCGCAGCAGGCGCGAAAACUCCGCAAUGCGCGCAAGCGUGACGGGGGGAUCCCAAGUGCCGUUGGUCUUUCGAUCGACGGCUUUUCGGAAGUCUAAGGAGCUUCCGGAAUAAGGGCUGGGUAAGACUGGUGCCAGCCGCCGCGGUAACACCAGCAGCCCAAGUGGUGGCCACGAUUAUUGGGCCUAAAGCGCUCGUAGCCGGGCCAGCAAGUCCCUUGUGAAAUCGGGCCGCCCAACGGUUCGGCGUGCAAGGGAUACUGUUGGUCUUGAGGCCGGGAGAGGUCGGAGGUACUCCUGGGGUAGCGGUGAAAUGCUCUAAUCCUGGGGGGACCA
rnacentral:rRNA from 1 species